GUUAUACUGAUGAAACUUCGGUUAUCAAGGAUGUACCAUAUAUCUACUGAGUAAUGCUAAUAGUUUGCUCUUUGUUGUCCAAUACUUCUAAAUAUGGAUUGGUUGCUCCACUUCAUGUGACUUCGUGAGAGGUGGGAUUAGAUUUCCUGUUCAGUUUAUGUGUUUCAAGAAAGAUAUUUGGAUAAUUUGAGAUUGUCAUUUAUAUUUGGAUGUUCAUUCUUCUCCGCGGGUAUAUUCCCACAUUGAACUGGAUUAUUGCUAUGAUUCGGUUGAUUCAGACAUAUUGUAUCUUGAAUGGCUUUCACCGCUGGGCAAAUCAAGCGAUGGAAGAAUCAUGGCACUUGUGAUGUUAUCUGCUACUCAUUUGCGGGCCUUGCGGUUGUCGUUCUCAUGGCUCUGCCAUUCGCGUUUAUGCAGGGUGAGCUCUCAUCUGUUUGUCUGUUUACUUGGUCGUUCGUAGAGAAUAUAUUUCUGGUGCUUUGUCUUGGUUGAUAGCGUAUUCUGCUCUUGCGUUCUUACUAUCAAGGAGAUGGAUAGAUAUAGAUUCUAGGCAUGUCCUUGGUCCCUGCAAAGUAGUUUUUUUUGCCUUCCAUGCUUUAUUGGUACCUUGCUCUUUUCCACCGUUGGUCAGGAGACAAAUAUAGCAUCAAAUUGGGUAGCAGAAAAUAAGAUUUGUUCUUUUACAAGGAUUACAGUGUGUCCUAUCGACAUCUGGUUUCAGAGCCUGUCAGAUUGGUUUCCAGUUCAUGCUUCUUAGGUUCUGCGGAUAACUAUGGAGCAAUGGACAUUCUUUGCUCCACUGAUGAAUGCAUGCACAAAAGUUGUUCCUUAUUUUUCUGUGCAAUUCAUGAUUUAUUGCCUGGUGGUGUGCAUUCAUGUUACCUUUUCGGAUUGUUCUUUGGUGGUUGAUACAGAUGCAAAAGAAAAUUUGAAAAGUUGGACCAAUGAUAUAGUGCUUGCUAAAAACAACAACUCUAAAUAAUUGUUGCAGGUUAUUUGUGAGGAUAGACCCAAAACUUCUUUCUACAUCUAUACCUUCAUGUUCCUUGUUAAAAGUGUCUUCAAGAAAUGCCAUCUGUUCACUUAUUUCUUUGCUCUUGGCCUUUUCUUCAUUUACAUGUACUCACUGAAACCUGACAUGGCAUGUGUAGCUGAGGAGGCGAGCCAUCAGUGUGAGUUUCAGGAAGAGAUGACAACACAAGUGAUCUUGAUUGGUAACAUGUUUGGAAUUGUUGUGCAUGCAUGGUACGAACAUGUGCAACACUAACAAAACGAAAACAAAAGUGAGCUUGUGGUUUGCGGUGCUUUCCCUCUGAAUUUUCUCAUUAGUAUGUCCAGAAAGGCAUAUUAGUGGAAGAGCAUACAAGAAAACCUUAACAUGUUAGGAACUUUUUCAUGUACUAGAAGGUUGUUGUACAGAAAUUUUCUUCUGAAACCAUCUCAUAAUCUUAGAUUUCCCAUUAGUUGGUUGUUGGUCAGUUCUAAAACUAUCUGUACAUUUUGCCCAAGGAAUUUGUUUUCUUAUAGUUCAUUGAUUAUUUUGGAUUAACUGAAUGUGAUCUUCCCAAUCUAAUAUAUGUACUUUUAGCUCUAAGGACUAGCAAGACUUAAUGAUGCAGGUUGUGAUUGUGAAUGAAGUACCAGUUGUUGCUAAUUUCGUAUUUUUGUUUGUACAACUCAGGUGUUUGAUGCAUUUCUUCUCCAGAAAAGGGAUAAGUAUCUGAGGUCAUAUCGGAUCGAGUGAUAGCAGAGGGUCUCAGGCCUGAUGAAUCGAAUGUUGACGUGGGACCAGUUUUUGUGAUGUCCAGCUCAUCGUCCACUGAGGCACCGCAGAAGAUGGUCCAAGGCAAAGUUAGGCAUCUUCCUGUAGUGUGGUCAAUGCCAUGUUGGACACUGCCAAGUUCCUCUGUGAUGCAAUUUCAAGAAUGGAAAAGGUAGCAGAACAAGGCAGUGCUAUAGCAACUGCUGUGGAAGGGGUCGAUGGGGAAAUAGAUUUGCAGAUAUAGUCUUUUCCAGUUUCUCAAGGCCACCCAUGACAUAUUCUAUUCAGGCCUCUUUGAUUAACUAGCUGAUGUUAUAUUUUGGGUCCUUCAGGUCCUCACACACUCAUAGAAAAUCUUCGAGAUCAUAUGUUCAAGCCUUCCUUGUUUGUCCACUAUCAUGAUUGAAAAUAGCAGGUAAAUUGGUACUGCCAAGAAUACAUAUGAUGCGAAAAUUUUGUAUGACUGAACCAUUUUAGUAUGACUGAAUCUUAUUAUAUGGUACACUUA